UCUCAUCAAUGUACUCGAGCAUAACAAGUGACUCUGCAAUCUGUCUUUCCUGAUGGAAUAGAAUCGGAGUCCCUUUUUGAGCAUGACUGUAUUGUAAAAGUGUGGAACUAUCAUGAGAUCUUCUACACACUCAUCGAACACUACAUGUUUGAGCUUCGAAGCCCAUAAGACCCUGAUGGCAAAAGGGCUCGCCCAGAAACCAAACAACUUGACCUCGGCCAUCUGCUGGUUUUCUUUCGGCAAACGCUACUAUGAUCUUAUUCUGAUAUUUCUAAUUUGUGGUAAGUCAAACUUCGCACAUGUCAAUUCUGUGUCCUAUAAGACCACUAAGUAGAAUCUUGCUCUCUCUCAUUUUGCAGGAGAUUAGAAUAGAUUGAAAAGGAGACGAAUGAAACAUAAUUUCAGGGGAGAGUCUGAAGUCUUUAGUUGCCUGUGUUUUAAUGAUCUGUGAUAGGAUCUAAGCUUCAUAAUCAGGAAUCGUUUUGCUUUUCUGAAGUUGGUUUCUGUCGUAAGGCAAUUCAUCGGCACAAGAACCUCAUCACUCUCUAUGUAUCUGGAUUUUGAAUGGAGAGUUUCAACAUGUAUG
rnacentral:lncRNA from 1 species